GCGAUGAUCGUCGGGAGGCGAUUGAGGAUGGGGAGCGAGAGGAAGGUGCCCCCGGUGCGGUCGGUCUUGAUGAAGCUCGCAUUGCGGACGGCGGAGGCAGUGGGCGCGGCUAUGAGGAUGCCAAGGAGAAGGAGGGCGAGGGCGGCGAGGCCGAGGCGCUCGUAGGAGAUGACGAACACCCAGAAGGUGAGGAGCCAGCGGAGGAGGCGGCGGAAGCCGAGGUGGGCGGAGGGGAGCGAGCGGCGGAGGAGGGCGGAGCGGGCGUCGGCGAGGGUGUCGGCAGAGGCGCGAAAGACGGCAGCGGGAACGGCGAGGAGAGCAGGGAAGAGGCCCUGGCGGAGGGGCGCGGACCAGAAGUCCAGGAGGGCGCGGUGGGCCUCGCGGAGGGGGAUGGAGCAGAGGACGGCCCACUGGAUAGGGCGGAUGAA
rnacentral:misc_RNA from 1 species